rnacentral:rRNA from 1 species
SKGGCGUGCCUAAUACAUGCAAGUCGAGCGGACAGAUGGGAGCUUGCUCCCUGAUGUUAGCGGCGGACGGGUGAGUAACACGUGGGUAACCUGCCUGUAAGACUGGGAUAACUCCGGGAAACCGGGGCUAAUACCGGAUGCUUGUUUGAACCGCAUGGUUCAAACAUAAAAGGUGGCUUCGGCUACCACUUACAGAUGGACCCGCGGCGCAUUAGCUAGUUGGUGAGGUAAUGGCUCACCAAGGCGACGAUGCGUAGCCGACCUGAGAGGGUGAUCGGCCACACUGGGACUGAGACACGGCCCAGACUCCUACGGGAGGCAGCAGUAGGGAAUCUUCCGCAAUGGACGAAAGUCUGACGGAGCAACGCCGCGUGAGUGAUGAAGGUUUUCGGAUCGUAAAGCUCUGUUGUUAGGGAAGAACAAGUACCGUUCGAAUAGGGCGGUACCUUGACGGUACCUAACCAGAAAGCCACGGCUAACUACGUGCCAGCAGCCGCGGUAAUACGUAGGUGGCAAGCGUUGUCCGGAAUUAUUGGGCGUAAAGGGCUCGCAGGCGGUUUCUUAAGUCUGAUGUGAAAGCCCCCGGCUCAACCGGGGAGGGUCAUUGGAAACUGGGGAACUUGAGUGCAGAAGAGGAGAGUGGAAUUCCACGUGUAGCGGUGAAAUGCGUAGAGAUGUGGAGGAACACCAGUGGCGAAGGCGACUCUCUGGUCUGUAACUGACGCUGAGGAGCGAAAGCGUGGGGAGCGAACAGGAUUAGAUACCCUGGUAGUCCACGCCGUAAACGAUGAGUGCUAAGUGUUAGGGGGUUUCCGCCCCUUAGUGCUGCAGCUAACGCAUUAAGCACUCCGCCUGGGGAGUACGGUCGCAAGACUGAAACUCAAGGGGAUUGACGGGGGCCCGCCCAA